UACGUAGGGGGGCAAGCGUUGUCCGGAUUUACUGGGCGUAAAGAGCGUGUAGGCGGCCACGCAGGUCCGUUGUGAAAACUGGAGGCUCAACCUUCAGACGUCGACGGAAACCGUGUGGCUAGAGUCCGGAAGAGGAGAGUGGAAUUCCUGGUGUAGAGGUGAAAUUCGUAGAUAUUAGGAAGAACACCAGUGGCGAAGGCGGCUCACUGGUCCGGUACUGACGCUGAGGUGCGAAAGCGUGGGGAGCAAACAGG
rnacentral:rRNA from 1 species